UCUGAUCUGCCUCCUACAGUCUUGAAAAGAGGAUCAAUAAGAAGGUCAUGGCGAUGUUUGAGAAAGCGGAAGAUGAAUACAACGACCUCAUAUCCAAGAAGAACAUCAUCGAGGCCGGUUCCCUUUGGCAACAGCUCUCUGAUUUUCCUGCACCAGAAGAAAACCCAUCGGCUUCCUGUUCUUGGCUGAUAACGAUGGCUGGUCCUUGCAGAACGAUAAGUCAAAGAUCAAGAUGGUGAUUGAGGAGCUCGACGAGAAGAAGAGGGAGACCCUGAAGGUCACCUGGGUCAAAGUGAACAAGUGGGUGCUCCUCCCCGUGUUCCUGAAUCUCUUCUCCAUCUUGCAGCGGGAUUCAGCUGGGUUCAUCCUAAAAGAAUCCUCCAUUUGCAGAGAUUUUGGGUCGAUAUUCUCCACUCUUCUGCCGGGCGC
rnacentral:lncRNA from 1 species